AUUGAACGCUGGCGGCAGGCCUAACACAUGCAAGUCGAGCGAGCGGCGGACGGGUGAGUAAUGUCUGGGAAACUGCCUGAUGGAGGGGGAUAACUACUGGAAACGGUAGCUAAUACCGCAUACCAUCAGAUGUGCCCAGAUGGGAUUAGCUAGUUGGUGGGGUAACGGCUAACCCAGGCGACGAUCCCUAGCUGGUCUGAGAGGAUGACCAGCAACAAUGGAAAUGAGACACGGUCCAGACUCCUACGGGAGGCAGAAGUGGGGAAUAUUGCACAAGGGGCGCAAGCAUGAUGCAGCCAUGCCGCGUGUAUGAAGAAGGCCUUCGGGUUGUAAAGCACUUUCAGCGAGGAGGCGUUACUCGCAGAAGAAGCACCGGCUAACUCCGUGCCAGCAGCCGCGGUAAUAC
rnacentral:rRNA from 1 species